rnacentral:rRNA from 1 species
AGUGAACGCUGGCGGUAGGCCUAACACAUGCAAGUCGAACGGCAGCACAGUAAGAGCUUGCCCUUACGGGUGGCGAGUGGCGGACGGGUGAGGAAUACAUCGGAAUCUACUUUUUCGUGGGGGAUAACGUAGGGAAACUUACGCUAAUACCGCAUACGACCUACGGGUGAAAGCAGGGGAUCUUCGGACCUUGCGCGAUUGAAUGAGCCGAUGUCGGAUUAGCUAGUUGGCGGGGUAAAGGCCCACCAAGGCGACGAUCCGUGGCUGGUCUGAGAGGAUGAUCAGCCACACUGGAACUGAGACACGGUCCAGACUCCUACGGGAGGCAGCAGUGGGGAAUAUUGGACAAUGGGCGCAAGCCUGAUCCAGCCAUACCGCGUGGGUGAAGAAGGCCUUCGGGUUGUAAAGCCCUUUUGUUGGGAAAGAAAAGCAGCAGGUUAAUACCCCGCUGUUCUGACGGUACCCAAAGAAUAAGCACCGGCUAACUUCGUG